rnacentral:lncRNA from 1 species
CUAGACUUUUGAAUCAAAACUAUGUUCUUUGUGUUGGAUGUGACCCAUGUGAUGUAUUUAAGGCGAUCCAUAAAGAUAGGUCAAUUUAUUUAAGUCGAUUUAUAAAGAUAUUUUAGAUCUUACGGUUAUGAUGUAUCUGGACACGUCCUUGAUGGACGAAUGUGAUUUAACAUCCUUACAUUAAGUUAUAUAUAAAUAUGUAACAUACGGGAGUUCCGGUCUAAUCCUAAUCCAAUUGUCUGUAACGGCUCCAUCUCCGGGGAUAAGGAAAUUAGACUCGAAACGUCCCGUCUUCUUGCAGAUCACGAACGAGGACGAACCACGAGCAAUGAUCGCCGCUUACAAAUCGGGUACGAUCUAGUUUCUCAUAAAGUUUCCUACACUCUGUAUUAUAGAUAUAUAUAUUACAAACAGGAAUAAUAAAUUAAUUAAUAUUCUAUUAAAUAUUUUCGCCUUGCAUAAGAGUAAAAGAAUAAUAUUAUUUUUUUAAUAAGGUUGCGUAAUGAAAUAAUGUUUGAAGAAAUAUAUAGGGAUAACUUCAAAAACCCCCCUGUGGUUUCCAACUUUCUCACUUUAGUACCCUGUAGUUUAAAAUGUAUCAAUUUGCCUCCCUGUGGUUUCCCUUUUUUCUUUUUUUAUCAAUUUUAUUAUUAUUUUUUUCUCAAAUCAGUAACAAAAUUAAAAUUAAAGGGUACUAAAAUAAAUAUUCGGUAAAUCUAGAUGGAUAUCUGUUGUUUUUUUGCAUAUAAUUUAACGAAAUAUUAAGAAAAAAGCUAUAGAAAAAAUAAAAACAAAACCGCAGGGUGGCAAAUUGAUACACUUUAAACCACAGGGUACUAAAGUGAGAA